rnacentral:rRNA from 1 species
GACGAACGCUGGCGGCGUGCUUAACACAUGCAAGUCGAACGGAAAGGCCCUGCUUUUGUGGGGUGCUCGAGUGGCGAACGGGUGAGUAACACGUGAGUAACCUGCCCUUGACUUUGGGAUAACUUCAGGAAACUGGGGCUAAUACCUGAUAGGAGCUCCUGCUGCAUGGUGGGGGUUGGAAAGUUUCGGCGGUUGGGGAUGGACUCGCGGCUUAUCAGCUUGUUGGUGGGGUAGUGGCUUACCAAGGCUUUGACGGGUAGCCGGCCUGAGAGGGUGACCGGCCACAUUGGGACUGAGAUACGGCCCAGACUCCUACGGGAGGCAGCAGUGGGGAAUAUUGCACAAUGGGCGGAAGCCUGAUGCAGCAACGCCGCGUGCAGGAUGACGGCCUUCGGGUUGUAAACCGCUUUCGCCUGUGACGAAGCGUGAGUGACGGUAAUGGGUAAAGAAGCACCGGCUAACUACGUG